CAUCGCUGGGCCACAAGGAGAGGAAGAAGGACUUGCCAGUUUAUUUAAAAUUGUGAAUGAAGGUUUUGAAAAACUGGGUCAACAGAAUGCCGAGGCACUAGAAGCUAUUAGACAAAACUCAGCAAGUAUUGAUAAGCUGACUCGACAGACUAAUGAAAAUACAGAUGUGAUUAAAAAAUUACUGGAACAAUCUGCUGAAACUCAAAAAACAGCUUUGGAAGCUAGAGAAAAGGCGGUAGCUGCUGAAGAAAAAUUACCACCUUUAAUUAAACAAGUUGAAGAGCACCAUAUAAGAUUGGGAACGCACCAGGAAUUGCUAUCUGUCCUUGAGCUAAAGGAGAAACAGACCAAUUUAAGGAUCAGAGCAGUACCUGAGAUUGAGAAAGAGAGCCUGGUAGACUUUUUGACACAAGAAUUCGCCAAUUUUUGGCAAUUGAACGAUAAGGAAGAUUUCAAGAUAACGUCUGCUUUCAGGCUUGGAAGAGGAGCAAGAAAGAACAGAGUGAGAGACUGCCUGAUUACCUUGCGAUCUAAGGAGGAACGAGAUAAAAUUUUGAGUUCACACUACCGAAAUACACUGAUAAUACAAGACUCAAGGAUAGAAAUAUUUAAAGACAUUCCAAAGCUCCUUUUGGAGCUUAGGUCCAACUACCGGGACCUGGUGACGCUGCUGAGAGGAAACAGAAUUUUUUUCAGGUGGGAAUUUCCUCAAGGCCUAUCUUUCAGUUUUAAAGGCAAGAAAAUUAAAAUAAAAUCUGUGGAGGAGAAACAGAACUUUUUGAGAGACCAUCAAGAGGACCUACAAAAAGGAUUGGGGCAGGAGCCAGAAGCCCCUUUACCAGGAUUGGAUCCUACACUACCACCGUUGGGAGAGGAUAAGACAGAGAAGGCGAAACCACCAACAGAGGAAGAAGAGUUAUUGGGAGCAGUUGGAGGAAAAUAAAGAAAUCAUCAUGGCUCUGCAACUUUUAACUUGGAAUGUUUGUGGUCUAAAUUCUCCGGAAAAAAGGAGGAAAGUAUUUCAUAUACUUAAAAAAGAACAAUUGGACUUAAUCUGCUUACAGGAAACCCAUGUGACGAGGCUCCACAGGAAAAUAUUGAUUAAUAAGAGAUUGGGUCAAGAAUUUAUUUCAUCAGAUAAAAUUAAAAAACGAGGAGUGGUCAUUUACGCAAAGGAGAGCCUCUCACCAAAAUUCGUCUUUAAGGAUGAACAAGGAAGAUUCAUAGCAAUUGAAAUUCAAGCACAAGGAGAAAAACUUUUGAUAGUAGGCUUAUAUGCACCAAAUGAGGGGAAAUCUAUAUUUUACAAAAAGUUGCAUGAGAUCUUGAUGGACUAUAUGGACUAUAACACUGUUUUUAUGGGAGAUAUGAAUGGGGUGGUUUCCACAAACAUGGACAAGUCACAAAGAGAGGUAGUCACUAAAGAUGGCAGACUACCGAAAACAUUCUUUGAAUUAACUGACAAUAUGGAUUUGAUUGACAUUUGGAGAACUAGGAAUCCCCUUGAUAGAGAAGGAACCUUUUUUUCUGAAGCCCAAAAGACAUGGACAAGAAUUGACCAAAUCUGGACUACUAGAGGACUGGCACCUAAGGUUAGGAAGGUAGAGAUCUGUCCAAAAACAUGCUCCGACCAUAACGCCGUGAGAAUGGAGAUGAAGUUAACAUCUACUGGUUCCUUCCGAUGGAGGAUGAAUGACACCUUGUUUAGAGAUCAAGAGGUGAUUAAGAAGGCCCAAAAGACAUUGAGAGACUAUUUUGAGAUAAACUUGAAUACAGCUGUAGAAAAAAGAAUAAUCUGGGACGCAAGUAAAGCUGUUAUGAGGGGCUUCCUGAUUCAACAGAAUUCAGUUAAGAAGAGGGCCCAAAAUGU